AAAAAUAAAAAAUUAAAUUAAAUUCAAAUAUGAUUGAGGUGGGGUUGAGUUUUCUAUUAAAUUGUUUUUGGAGAGGGAACCUGACACCUAUGGAUGUUUGAGUUUAAAGCGCAUAUCAAUGUCUUUAAAUUUUUUGCGCGCUUUUGAAAUCAUGGUAAUUAUUAUGGUAUGAUUAUUGUAUUCUGCGCGCUUUUGAAAUCAUGGUAAUUAUUAUGAUAUGAUUAUUGUACUUCGAUACUUGUAAGUGUUUUCAUGGUGUAAUAUUUGAAAAUUAAAUGGAAAUAAUUUAAUUUAAUUCUGAAAUGAUUGUGGAUAAAGCUAAACUUUAAACUAGACAUCCACAAGUGUUUAAGUUUUGAUUAAAUAUUAAUGAAAAUAUAAAUUAAAGUUGACAUUCAUUGGUGUCGAGUUUCACUUAAAAACUCAAACACAACUUUAAUUUUUAAACAUAUAAAUAUGCAAUCAAACUUGUUAGAUUUUGAUAGAAAAUCAAAACAAAUUGUGUUCUAUGUUCAAUUAGAGGUGUGUUGAUCUUAGAAAAGUUUGGCAAUUUAGGGUGAGUUAGGAUGGGCGGUGCGUUUACCUGCGGUUAGUGUAAAAACAACAGUGGCGGUGAGAUUAGAUACUGUAGCGACACUGUAGUGUGAGACUAAAAGUAAACUAAACGCACUGCACUGCACCUAAUCGCCCAUCCAAACCCACCCUUAGUUUAUACCAUAUACCUCCCGUUAUCAAAUUUUCGAAUGGUUGGUACAUAAAGUUGAGAAUUUGUCAUUUUGGCUUGCCCCUAUACAAGGCGUUGUACAAGGGAUGUAAAGUGGGGAACGAGAAAGUGAAUAGUUUCCUUGUGAUUUUACAGUUGUGUAGAUGAUAUCAACUUCUGUUCUCUCUUAGGUUUUUUCCAGCUAGAAGGUAAAAGUAGAAUCACUACUUCAAAAACCCAUUAUUUUUAUGUGUUUUAUUUAUACUGAUAUUUUGUAAUUUAUUAGGUGAUUUAAGCAUUUUGAUCAUACAACACACCAAUCGAUACAAGGAGUAAUUAAUAGGGAAUCCAAUAAUUUGUUUUUGUAGAUAGCGCACCAAGUGGGAGAGAUUGCAACUAUAUUAUAUGCUUUUGCUGUGUACACACAUCCCUUAUAUGCUUUUCUUGCUUCGAGUGACAUUAGUUGUGUUGGGUAUUACAACAGUUUGGGAUAGUCCAAGAAAUUUUAGCAGAUCUAGAGAACAUGGAUUACUAUCAUCCUAUAAAUUUGUAUUUGGUUUAGAAGCGCAAUUGGACCGUUAAAUUUGUACGACACGUGACACAUUGGAGUAAUCAUCUCCAACAUAGGCCACAAAGUUCAUUGAUCGAGAAUGACUAUUUUGCAGUUUUCGAGAUAUAUAUGAAAUGGUUUAGGGUCAACAGUAAACCGCACAUGUAU